GAUUAACGCUGGCGGCGUGCAUAACACAUGCAAGUCGAACGAUGAAACUUAAAUGAUUUCUUCGGAAUGAACUUAAGUGGAUUAGUGGCGGACGGGUGAGUAACGCGUGAGUAACCUGCCUUACACAAGGGGAUAGCCGUUGGAAACGACGAAUAAUACCCUAUGAAACUAUCACUUCGCAUGAAGCGAUAGUCAAAGUGUUAGCGGUGUAAGAUGGACUUGCGUCUGAUUAGCUAGUUGGUGAGAAAAAAGCCCACCAAGGCAACGAUCAGUAGCCGGCUUGAGAGAGUGUACGGCCACAUUGGGACUGAGACACGGCCCAGACUCCUACGGGAGGCAGCAGUGGGGAAUUUUGCACAAUGGGGGAAACCCUGAUGCAGCGACGCCGCGUGAUUCAGAAGGCCUUCGGGUUGUAAAAAUCUUUUGUAUAGGAAGAAAAUGACAGUACUAUACGAAUAAGGUCCGGCUAAUUACGUG
rnacentral:rRNA from 1 species